rnacentral:rRNA from 1 species
AGCGAGAGAGAGCUUGCUUUCUCGAGCGAGUGGCGAACGGGUGAGUAACGCGUGAGGAACCUGCCUCAAAGAGGGGGACAACAGUUGGAAACGACUGCUAAUACCGCAUAAGCCCACGGUGCCGCAUGGUACAGAGGGAAAAGGAGCAAUCCGCUUUGAGAUGGCCUCGCGUCCGAUUAGCUAGUUGGUGAGGUAAUGGCCCACCAAGGCAACGAUCGGUAGCCGGACUGAGAGGUUGAACGGCCACAUUGGGACUGAGACACGGCCCAGACUCCUACGGGAGGCAGCAGUGGGGAAUAUUGCACAAUGGGGGAAACCCUGAUGCAGCGACGCCGCGUGGAGGAAGAAGGUCUUCGGAUUGUAAACUCCUGUUGUUGGGGAAGAUAAUGACGGUACCCAACAAGGAAGUGACGGCUAACUACGUGCAGCAGCCGCGGUAAAACGUAGGUCACAAGCGUUGUCCGGAAUUACUGGGUGUAAAGGGAGCGCAGGCGGGAAGACAAGUUGGAAGUGAAAUCUAUGGGCUCAACCCAUAAACUGCUUUCAAAACUGUUUUUCUUGAGUAGUGCAGAGGUAGGCGGAAUUCCCGGUGUAGCGGUGGAAUGCGUAGAUAUCGGGAGGAACACCAGUGGCGAAGGCGGCCUACUGGGCACCAACUGACGCUGAGGCUCGAAAGUGUGGGUAGCAAACAGGAUUAGAUACCCUGGUAGUCCACACCGUAAACGAUGAUUACUAGGUGUUGGAGGAUUGACCCCUUCAGUGCCGCAGUUAACACAAUAAGUAAUCCACCUGGGGAGUACGACCGCAAGGUUGAAACUCAAAGGAAUU